rnacentral:tRNA from 1 species
GGAGUGGUAGUUCAUCUGGUUAGAAUUCCUGCAUGUCACGCAGGGGGUCGCGGGUUCGAGUCCCGUCCAAUCCG